GGCAGUUGGGAGUUGGAGGAGUGCAGGGAAGGAGGUGGGACCAGUGUCAACCUGGAGUAGCUCUACAGUAACUCUGGCAGCCUUUUGUUGCUGGGACAUCCACACAGGCAAUUUAGCUGGCAAAAGGACUCUGGAUUGGUUGGCAGCCUGCUCUUCAUUUCCAAGGUGAUCACUCUACUGUAGAAGAAAUGGGGUUGACAGACAAGAGUGUGGGAGAACAACAGCUCAAGCCCAACAACUCUGAUGCACCCAAUGAAGAUCAAAGAGAAGAAGUUCAACAGCAAGAAGAGCGUACUCCAGUAGGGCAGCGAACACAAAGAGCAGGCACACAGCCAUCCAGAUGUCAAUUGCCUUCACGUACGACACCUAGAACAUCCAUCAACAGAAGAGUCAACUUUCCUGGAAUCCUUCCAUGGCCUAUGCAGUGGGUUUCCAGCCCGUAUCAAUUGCCUGAUGUUCUUCAGUUUUAUCCUGAACUUCUUCUGGUUUUCAAAGAAGCUUUCCACGAUAUGGCCCAUUGUCUGAAGGCCCAUAUCGAAGAGAUCGGGCUACCUAUCCUCCUCCAACUCUCUGCACUCUCCAACUUCUACUUCUACCUGCCUGUCCUUCCUAUACUUCUUUUCCUCUAUUUCUUUACUCUUUUUGUGCUUCUCCUUCUGCUUCUGAUUAUUCUUUUCAUUCUUAUCUUCUCUUGAUUCCUUUCUUUCAAUAAACAGCAAUGAACAUGAACACUG